CUAUUCAAGGCCCAAGCCUCGCCCCACUCCUUCCUAUCGUCCAUCUGAGGAAAGUCAUACUUAUGAGCAGCCUCAAGCUGAUUAUGGGUUUCAGCCUGGGGUGAAUCGCCCUGGCGGAGAAAGUGAGUAUGGACGGAAGAGUGAGUAUGAAGAAGAGCCCACACCAGAAUAUGGAUCUGGAUAUGGGAGAAAGAGUGAGUAUGAAGAGCCUAAACCCCAGUAUGGAUCUGGGUAUGGAAGGAAGAGUGAGUACGAAGAGCCAAGUUCCGAGUAUGGAUCUGGGUAUGGGAGGAAGAGUGAGUAUGAAGAACCCACUCCUCAAUAUGGAUCUGGGUAUGGCCGGAAGAGUGAGUAUCAAGAGCCAAGUUCUGAGUAUGGGAGGAAGACUGAAUAUGAAGAACCCACUGCCCAGUAUGGAAGGAAAAGCGAGUAUGAAGAACCCGCUUCCGAAUAUGGAUCAGGGUACCGGAAGAAGAGUGAAUACGAGGAGCCAAGCUCGGAAUACGGGUCGGGUUAUGGGCGUAAGAACGAAUCCGAAGAAUACGGAUCUGGUGGAUAUGGCAGGAAGCCGAGCUAUGGACAAGAGGAAGGUGAGAGGCCCAGUUAUGGGCGUCCAAGCUACCAGGCUGAGGAGGGCGAAGGGUACGAGAGGCCUCACUAUGGAAGGUCCGAGGAGGAGGACUACAAGAAGCCCAGCUACGAGAGGCGUGGUGAUGACGAUGAGGGAUAUGGUCGCAAGAAAUAUGUGAGCACUCAAACUCAAUUUCUCUUCUUUGUAUUAAUUGAGUUUUUAGCACUUGAUCUUGAUCCUUUUAGGUUUACUGAUAUCUAUUGCCUAAUGGAGAUGCUUCAAUUUACAAGUGAUUAAACCGAAAGAUCAUUUGAUGAUGCUCAACUCUAACCAAAAUAACUAGAUGACGCCUCAUUUUAACUUUUAGAUUUGAUACACAUAGGCGAUCCUUUUGUUUUUGAUAGAAAAUGCUGCUGGUAAAAUGAAUAGUUCUUCAUUUAGCUCAUUGUAAGUAGCUCAUUAUUUUGUGUUCACUCUUAGGCUCGUUAGGUUUGGGAACAACUUAUUCCUGAAUUAAUUAUCCCAAGAUUGUUAUCCCACCCUCAAUGUGGGGAUCAACAUAACACUAUAAUCCCGAAAUAACUAAUCAUGUGAUAAGUUAUCCCGCGAUUUAAUCCCAACCAAACAUGGAAUAAACUCAUCCUAAAAUGAAUCCCAUGAUUGGUCAUGCCUCGUACCAAACGAGCGCUUUAAGUCUUAAUCCACACUUCUAGCAAAAGAAAGUGAAGAAUAACAAUGGGGUUAGGGGAAGGCACAUAUUGCCAUAUUGUGAACUACAAAAACCUUAGUGUGUUAAAGACAUGUCUGUGAUUGUUAAGUCUGUUAUGAAUUAUGAUUAGAGUUGAGUUUUUGAAGUUCUUACAAUUGAAUCCAUUACAUAUGUGAAAUUGCUGGUGACAAUUUAUGUUGUGCUGUGACAAAUAGGAUAAAUAUAUUUGUCACAACUCAAAUCGUCAUAAUUAGUACUUUUGGGGUUAUUUUCGUAAUUUGACAAGGAUGGAUCAAUAAAUUCACAUUUUUUUUGCAUUUAAAAUGCCCUCUAAAUUUUAUAUCACUGAACCAACUCCUAAACCACUAUCCGAUUUUCCAAAACACUGCCAAGGAAUACAACCCCAAGAAAUAAUCUUGCCCAAAAAAUAACCAUGUCAAAUUCAAACGGUUGUCUUCCAUUCUUUAUCCACUCCAAUAUUCUAUCCACUAUAUUUCAGCCAGCAAUAGUCUUGUUCCAAUCUUUUUGUCUUCUAUUGUUGUUUCUUAAUUCCAUUCUUCUUCAUUUUCAGCAUCUGAUUAUUUUUUUCCAGCUCUCUUUUUGUUCAUAAAUUUCACCUCACUAGCUAGUAUGCCUAUGUUGUUUUUAAGGGGAAAAAAAAGGUAUAUACUUAACUUGACAAAAAUGUGCAAAAAUAACCAUUGAAAUUGGUGGAAGCUUGUAUUGAAAAUAUGGUAGGUAUGAGGAUGCUGUUGAAGCUUUAGAAAGUUAGAAUGUUUGAAUAGAUAUAGUGAAAUUAUCUGAGAAAUCAUCUCGUAAUUCAAUAGUGGAUGAAAAGAAACUAAUAUUUAAUGAGCAACACAUGUCUAUGUUAGCAAUACUUUUGGCUGGAGUUGUUUUUGGAAAAUUAUUGAAACAUUAAUUUGCCAAGUAAAUUAUUUGGGCGAUUUUUCGAAAAGUAAAUGGAAUGUUCUUUUGCCCUCAAGGCCUAGCUCUAGUGGCAAAAGGUGGAGGAUUUGUGGUUUAGGUUGCAGGUUCAAGCUCCACACCAUGCAAAGUAAAACCCCGUAUUCAAGUGGAGAAGGGUAAAGGGGCGGACCCAUUAUCCACCGAGUUUAGAAGGUUGUGAUUGGUCCAAAGGGUGGGUCAUGACAAAUUUCUGGGUUAUAAAAAAAAAUAAUUUAAAAUGGAAUGUUCUUUAUUUUGUUAUGUUAAUUUAGGAUUUUGUUGUAUUUGAAUUGGAUUGGGUCAUGUAUUGGGCUUGAUAUUUUUGAUUGGGCCCUGGGUUAUUCUUUCAUUUUUGAAGUAGUAAAUUAUAAAUAAAAUAAACAAAAAAUAAAAUGAAUUGACUUACCUCGUUCCCCGACUAUAACUCAAUUCAUUGUCUCAUUUUUUAUUUUUGUGUACCGAGACUUUAUUUAUUUUAUUUAUAAAUUUACUACAAAAAAAAAGAAUGAUCAAGGGCUAAAAUUCAAAAAACCAGGCCCAAUACAUGAUCCAAUCUAAUCUAGAUACAUCAAAACCCUAAAUUAACAUAACAAAAUAGGGGUGUGUUUGCAAAGCCACGCUGGUAAUUAGAUUUGGUGUAACUGAGUUACCAAUUUCAAAAAAAAUAAAAUUAGAUUUGGUGUAACUGGGUAUAAUUACAGUGUUUGAUCUGUUUGUUUGGCCAAGUAAUUACUUGAUCAGCAGGUAAUUGGUGUAAUUGACAUGGGUAAUUAAACUCCAAUUUCCAAGGAGAGUUAUGAAUUGUUGGUAAUUACAAGCUAAUUACCUUUUAAUUUUUUCUUUCUAUUUCUAUUUUUUUGUUUUAAUUUAUUUUCUAUUUCUAUUAUUUUAAAUUAUUUUUAUAUUAUUAUUCUAAAAGUUUAAUUUUUAUUGUAUAUUAUUUGUAUUUCAUUUAUUUCUCAUUCUUAACCUUUACUUCAUGUGAUUCUAUGUAAUUUUUCGUAUUAUCUAUUUUUAUGCCAUGUUUAUUUAUUUCAUUGACAUAAUUUUGCUGGCAUUCUAAUUCUUAAAUUAAAGUAGAAAUUCAUUGUUGAUUAAGAUUAUAGACUUACGUUUUGCUAUUCUUUUAAAUCAUAUUUAUGUAUGUUAUGUUGAAAUUUGACAUAAGAGUAUAUGUUAAAUUUUUUUUUUUAUAAUUUAAAACUUAUGUUAUAUAUUUUUAGUUUCAUUUGUUCUAGUAAUUACACUAAUUUCAAUUACCAGAUGACUUUCCAAUCCCUUACGAACAUUCAAUUUAUCUUCCGAAAAAUCGCCCAAAUGAUUUACUUGAUAAAUCAAUCUUUCAAUAAUUUUCCAAAAACAAGUUUAGCUAAAAAUAUUGCUAACAUAGAGACGUGAUGCUCAUUACGUUCUACUUUCUUUUCAUCCACUACUGCAUUACGAGAUGAUUCUCGGAUUAUUUUACUCUAUUUAUUCAAAGAUUUCAAUCUUCUAAAGCUUUAACUGCAUCAUCAUACUUGUCAUAUUUUCAGUACAAGCUUCGACUAACUCCAAUGUUUAUUUUUGUACAUUCUUUCCAAGUUGAGUACAUACCUUGUUUUUUCCCCUUAAAAACAAAAUAAACAUACUAACCAAUGAGAUGAAAUUUACGAACGAAAGAGGGAGAGAAAAUAGCCGCAUGUUGAAAAUGAAGAAAACAACAAUGAAAGAUUGAAACAAGAGUAUUGUUGGAAGAAAUAGAGUAUUGGAGUGAAUAAAGAAUGGAACAGAGUUAUUUAUUGGGCAAGGUUGUAUUCCUUAGGUAGCGUUUUGGAAAACCGGGUGAUGGUUUAGUGGUUUUAAAUUUAGUAGGUUCAUCCGUACAACAUAGAUUUACAGGCAUGUCAAGCGUGAGGAAAAUGCAUUAUCCACUUGUUUUUGUUUUAAGAUUUGAACUCUUUUCCAAUCCAUGUGAUCUAAUUGGCAGGGUGAGGACAACUCCGACGACGAUGACGAGGAGAAGAAACAUCGCCACCACCACCACCGCAAACACUACGAUGAUUGAGCAGAGUGCUUUAUGAUCAUCUGAA
rnacentral:lncRNA from 1 species